rnacentral:tRNA from 1 species
AAGGGAUUAGUUGAGUGGUUUAACACCGGUUUUACACACUGGAUACAGAGGUUCGAUUCCUCUAUUCCUUA